GUUAGGAAUAUUGGACAAUGGGCGCAAGCCUGAUCCAGCCAUGCCGCGUGAGUGAUGAAGGCCUUCGGGUUGUAAAGCUCUUUAGCCGAUGAUUAUAAUGACUGUAGUCGGAAAAUAAGCCCCGGCUAACUUCGUGCCAGCAGCCGCGGUAAUACGAAGGGGGCGAGCGUUAUUCGGAAUCACUGGGCGUAAAGCGUGCGUAGGCGGCUUUGCAAGUUGGGAGUGAAAGCCCAGGGCUCAACCCUGGAAUUGCUCUCAAAACUGCAAGGCUCGAAGUCGGGAGAGGAUAGCGGAAUUGUCAGUGUAGCAGUGAAAUGCGUAGAUAUUGACAGGAACACCAGUGGCGUAAGCGGCUAUCUGGACCGAUAUUGACGCUGAGGCACGAAAGCGUGGGGAUCAAACAGGAUUAGAAACCCGGGUAGUCC
rnacentral:rRNA from 1 species